GGACGAUCCGAUCUCUGUCCAGCUGCGACCCAAUGGGAGUCCCCGCCAGGAGACACAACCGGCGGCUCUCCGGGGAUUUAUAAGGUCCCGCCAGCAACCGCGCGUUGGGAUUCGUGGUGUUGCUGGAGACCCGUAUGGUGUCUGCAGUCAGCGACCCUCCAACUUCAACUACUGGAUCAACCAUGUGUGAGUGCAUCUCCAUCCAUGUGGGCCAGGCCGGAGUGCAGAUGGGCAAUGCCUGCUGGGAGCUGUACUGCCUGGAGCACGACAUCCAGCCCAGUGGCACCAUGCCCAGCCACAAGGCCCUGGGGAGCAGUGAUAACUCCUUCAACACCUUCUUCAGGGAGACCCAGCCUGGCAGGCAUGUGUCCUGGGCUGUCUGUGGACCUGGAGCCUGCUGUCAUAGCACAAUGAAGUCGCUGUAGAGGGAAGGGACCACUGAAGGUGCCACCUGCUCUCCCCGUCUCAAGCCCAGGCAGGACCUGGCCUUAGAAGUGGGUCUCUGGUCGGGAGGCUGAGGCAGGAGAAUCGCUUGAACCCGGGAGACAGAGGCUGUGGUGAGCCAAGAUCGCGUGAUUGCACUCCAGCCUGGGCAACAAGAGUGAAACUCUGUCUCAAAAAAAAAAAAAGAAAGAAAAGAAAAAGAAGAUGCCGUGCAUCAUCACUCUGUUGAGCAGUUGUACCUGGGGAGGCUUAGCAGCAAAGGUUCUGGUGUCUGGCGUUCCCUUGGGGAAUGAACCAGCUUGUCUUACCUUUGUCCUUUCUUCCCCUCAAGAUGGGGUAAGAACUGACAUUUAUAGGCAGCUGUUCCACCCUGAACAGCUGAUAUCUGGCGUGGAAGAUGCUGCCAACAACUGUGCCCGUGGCCACUACACUGCGGGGAAGGAGAUCAUCGAUUUGGUGCUGGAGUGAAUCUGAAAACUGGUGAGCAGGCCUCUGGCACCUACAGGAGGUCGUUGCAUCCUUAACCCUCUUCCUGGCUGGGAGGCAACCACAGCCUGUGCUGGUACCUGACAUCAUUCCUCCAGCCUGUCAGUCCACUCAGCUUCUCUUAAGGGGAUAUGUGUUUUCUGUCCUGGGUACGGAUCUAGGGUUGGAAGCCUGAAUAAACUGCUCUGCCUUGAGUUUGUGGACUCAAGCUUCUGCCCUGAUGGUUCCUCGCUUUGCCAGGUCUGUCUGAUCCAAGCCUUCUUUGACCUUUGAUCCAUCUCUACAGCAGCUCAGCUUGUUGUUCUUAGACUCCUAUGCAGAUCUGUCCAGGUGGGAGGGGCUCCUGUUUAGCACUCAACCAUUUCACCAGUUCACCCUUCCCCUAUCCGAGGCAUUGAGAACCACCAGUGAGGCUGCCUGUGAGCCAGGACUUUGGCCCUGUUGCUGUAGGGGGAUUGCCUAGACAUACUCUCUGCUGCUCGGUAGAGACUGAGGACUUGGAAGUGACCUGAGGAGUAGGAUUCUGUGCUCCCUUCCUCAAGAAUGAAAAUAAAAUACCUCCUAGGGGUAGACUUCUUU
rnacentral:lncRNA from 1 species